CCUACGGGAGGCUGCAGUGGGGAAUAUUGGACAAUGGGCGAAAGCCUGAUCCAGCCAUGCCGCGUGUGUGAAGAAGGCCUUCGGGUUGUAAAGCACUUUCAGUGGGGAAGAAAGCCUUGGGGCUAAUACCCUCGAGGAAGGACAUCACCCACAGAAGAAGCACCGGCUAACUCCGUGCCAGCAGCCGCGGUAAUACGGAGGGUGCGAGCGUUAAUCGGAAUUACUGGGCGUAAAGCGCGCGUAGGCGGUCUGAUAAGCCGGUUGUGAAAGCCCCGGGCUCAACCUGGGAACGGCAUCCGGAACUGUCAGGCUAGAGUGCAGGAGAGGAAGGUAGAAUUCCCGGUGUAGCGGUGAAAUGCGUAGAGAUCGGGAGGAAUACCAGUGGCGAGGCGGCCUUCUGGACUGACACUGACGCUGAGGUGCGAAAGCGUGGGUAGCAAACAGGAUUAGAUACCCGAGUAGUC
rnacentral:rRNA from 1 species